rnacentral:rRNA from 1 species
GGGUUGUGAGGUUAAGCGACUAAGCGUACACGGUGGAUGCCCUGGCAGUCAGAGGCGAUGAAGGACGUGCUAAUCUGCGAUAAGCGUCGGUAAGGUGAUAUGAACCGUUAUAACCGGCGAUUUCCGAAUGGGGAAACCCAGUGUGAUUCGUCACACUAUCAUUAACUGAAUCCAUAGGUUAAUGAGGCGAACCGGGGGAACUGAAACAUCUAAGUACCCCGAGGAAAAGAAAUCAACCGAGAUUCCCCCAGUAGCGGCGAGCGAACGGGGAGCAGCCCAGAGCCUGAAUCAGUGUGUGUGUUAGUGGAAGCGUCUGGAAAGGCGCGCGAUACAGGGUGACAGCCCCGUACACAAAAAUGCACAUGCUGUGAGCUCGAUGAGUAGGGCGGGACACGUGGUAUCCUGUCUGAAUAUGGGGGGACCAUCCUCCAAGGCUAAAUACUCCUGACUGACCGAUAGUGAACCAGUACCGUGAGGGAAAGGCGAAAAGAACCCCGGCGAGGGGAGUGAAAAAGAACCUGAAACCGUGUACGUACAAGCAGUGGGAGCACGCUUAGGCGUGUGACUGCGUACCUUUUGUAUAAUGGGUCAGCGACUUAUAUUCUGUAGCAAGGUUAACCGAAUAGGGGAGCCGAAGGGAAACCGAGUCUUAACUGGGCGUUAAGUUGCAGGGUAUAGACCCGAAACCCGGUGAUCUAGCCAUGGGCAGGUUGAAGGUUGGGUAACACUAACUGGAGGACCGAACCGACUAAUGUUGAAAAAUUAGCGGAUGACUUGUGGCUGGGGGUGAAAGGCCAAUCAAACCGGGAGAUAGCUGGUUCUCCCCGAAAGCUAUUUAGGUAGCGCCUCGUGAAUUCAUCUCCGGGGGUAGAGCACUGUUUCGGCAAGGGGGUCAUCCCGACUUACCAACCCGAUGCAAACUGCGAAUACCGGAGAAUGUUAUCACGGGAGACACACGGCGGGUGCUAACGUCCGUCGUGAAGAGGGAAACAACCCAGACCGCCAGCUAAGGUCCCAAAGUCAUGGUUAAGUGGGAAACGAUGUGGGAAGGCCCAGACAGCCAGGAUGUUGGCUUAGAAGCAGCCAUCAUUUAAAGAAAGCGUAAUAGCUCACUGGUCGAGUCGGCCUGCGCGGAAGAUGUAACGGGGCUAAACCAUGCACCGAAGCUGCGGCAGCGACACUAUGUGUUGUUGGGUAGGGGAGCGUUCUGUAAGCCUGUGAAGGUGUGCUGUGAGGCAUGCUGGAGGUAUCAGAAGUGCGAAUGCUGACAUAAGUAACGAUAAAGCGGGUGAAAAGCCCGCUCGCCGGAAGACCAAGGGUUCCUGUCCAACGUUAAUCGGGGCAGGGUGAGUCGACCCCUAAGGCGAGGCCGAAAGGCGUAGUCGAUGGGAAACAGGUUAAUAUUCCUGUACUUGGUGUUACUGCGAAGGGGGGACGGAGAAGGCUAUGUUGGCCGGGCGACGGUUGUCCCGGUUUAAGCGUGUAGGCUGGUUUUCCAGGCAAAUCCGGAAAAUCAAGGCUGAGGCGUGAUGACGAGGCACUACGGUGCUGAAGCAACAAAUGCCCUGCUUCCAGGAAAAGCCUCUAAGCAUCAGGUAACAUCAAAUCGUACCCCAAACCGACACAGGUGGUCAGGUAGAGAAUACCAAGGCGCUUGAGAGAACUCGGGUGAAGGAACUAGGCAAAAUGGUGCCGUAACUUCGGGAGAAGGCACGCUGAUAUGUAGGUGAAGCGACUUGCUCGUGGAGCUGAAAUCAGUCGAAGAUACCAGCUGGCUGCAACUGUUUAUUAAAAACACAGCACUGUGCAAACACGAAAGUGGACGUAUACGGUGUGACGCCUGCCCGGUGCCGGAAGGUUAAUUGAUGGGGUCAGCGCAAGCGAAGCUCUUGAUCGAAGCCCCGGUAAACGGCGGCCGUAACUAUAACGGUCCUAAGGUAGCGAAAUUCCUUGUCGGGUAAGUUCCGACCUGCACGAAUGGCGUAAUGAUGGCCAGGCUGUCUCCACCCGAGACUCAGUGAAAUUGAACUCGCUGUGAAGAUGCAGUGUACCCGCGGCAAGACGGAAAGACCCCGUGAACCUUUACUAUAGCUUGACACUGAACAUUGAGCCUUGAUGUGUAGGAUAGGUGGGAGGCUUUGAAGUGUGGACGCCAGUCUGCAUGGAGCCGACCUUGAAAUACCACCCUUUAAUGUUUGAUGUUCUAACGUUGACCCGUAAUCCGGGUUGCGGACAGUGUCUGGUGGGUAGUUUGACUGGGGCGGUCUCCUCCUAAAGAGUAACGGAGGAGCACGAAGGUUGGCUAAUCCUGGUCGGACAUCAGGAGGUUAGUGCAAUGGCAUAAGCCAGCUUGACUGCGAGCGUGACGGCGCGAGCAGGUGCGAAAGCAGGUCAUAGUGAUCCGGUGGUUCUGAAUGGAAGGGCCAUCGCUCAACGGAUAAAAGGUACUCCGGGGAUAACAGGCUGAUACCGCCCAAGAGUUCAUAUCGACGGCGGUGUUUGGCACCUCGAUGUCGGCUCAUCACAUCCUGGGGCUGAAGUAGGUCCCAAGGGUAUGGCUGUUCGCCAUUUAAAGUGGUACGCGAGCUGGGUUUAGAACGUCGUGAGACAGUUCGGUCCCUAUCUGCCGUGGGCGCUGGAGAACUGAGGGGGGCUGCUCCUAGUACGAGAGGACCGGAGUGGACGCAUCACUGGUGUUCGGGUUGUCAUGCCAAUGGCACUGCCCGGUAGCUAAAUGCGGAAGAGAUAAGUGCUGAAAGCAUCUAAGCACGAAACUUGCCCCGAGAUGAGUUCUCCCUGACUCCUUGAGAGUCCUGAAGGAACGUUGAAGACGACGACGUUGAUAGGCCGGGUGUGUAAGCGCAGCGAUGCGUUGAGCUAACCGGUACUAAUGAACCGUGAGGCUUAACCUUACAACGCCGAAGGUGUUU